rnacentral:rRNA from 1 species
AUUGAACGCUGGCGGCAGGCCUAACACAUGCAAGUCGAACGGUAGCACAGAUAGCUUGCUCUCGGGUGACGAGUGGCGGACGGGUGAGUAACGUCUGGGAAACUGCCCGAUGGAGGGGGAUAACUACUGGAAACGGUAGCUAAUACCGCAUAACGUCGCAAGACCAAAGUGGGGGACCUUCGGGCCUCACACCAUCGGAUGUGCCCAGAUGGGAUUAGCUAGUAGGUGGGGUAAUGGCUCACCUAGGCGACGAUCCCUAGCUGGUCUGAGAGGAUGACCAGCCACACUGGAACUGAGACACGGUCCAGACUCCUACGGGAGGCAGCAGUGGGGAAUAUUGCACAAUGGGCGCAAGCCUGAUGCAGCCAUGCCGCGUGUAUGAAGAAGGCCUUCGGGUUGUAAAGCACUUUCAGCGGGGAGGAAGGCGGUGAAGUUAAUAACUUCACCGAUUGACGUUACCCGCAGAAGAAGCACCGGCUAACUCCGUGCCAGCAGCCGCGGUAA